rnacentral:rRNA from 1 species
CCUACGGGUGGCAGCAGUGAGGAAUAUUGGUCAAUGGACGCGAGCCUGAACCAGCCAAGUAGCGUGAAGGAUGACUGCCCUACGGGUUGUAAACUUCUUUUAUAAAGGAAUAAAGUGAGGCACGUGUGCCUUUUUGUAUGUACUUUAUGAAUAAGGAUCGGCUAACUCCGUGCCAUCAGCCGCGGUAAUACGGAGGAUCCGAGCGUUAUCCGGAUUUAUUGGGUUUAAAGGGAGCGUAGAUGGUUUGUUAAGUCAGUUGUGAAAGUUUGCGGCUCAACCGUAAAAUUGCAAUUGAUACUGGCAGUCUUGAGUACAGUAGAGGUAGGCGGAAUUCGUGGUGUAGCGGUGAAAUGCUUAGAUAGCACGAAGAACUCCGAUUGCGAAGGCAGCUUACUAAACUGCCACUGACGUUGAUGCUCGAAAGUGUGGGUAUCAAACAGGAUUAGAUACCCGAGUAGUC